AAGUCAUUUUAAUUGACUUUGUGAAUUUGACUUGUGUUGUUGGGCCUUGGUCAAGGUUGAUUUGACUUUGCUAGGUUAAGAUCAUUGAAUUUAGGGGAUUGAUGGAAUGUACGUUCCAUCUCCCAAAAUGAAUGAAUGAUCUUAACUUGGUAAAAGUUUUCCUUUGACCAAUUUGUGUUGAAUCCAUCCCCCCUCCCUCUUAAUCU
rnacentral:lncRNA from 1 species